CGAGCCGCGGGGAGGAGGAAGGGGAGCAGUGCGAGCGGGGAGGAGGAGGAGAUGGACCGGGCGGCGCCGGUGAGGAGCUCCCACACCUCCAUGGCCGACCUGCUCGCGUGGCCGCAGCCGCAGGGCCAGGGCCCCGCCCCCGCCACGCCGUCGCCGCUGCGCCGCCACGACCAGAUAGCACUCCCCCGUCUUCUCUUUCCUCCUCAGUCUCUCCCUCCACGAGUCGCUGCAUCUUCCCCGUGGCAUGCCGCGCUCGAUUGACCCACUGAGCUCGCCUCGCUCCCUUGCGCGCAGCCGUCGGAGGUGAUCAGGAAGGUGGUCUUCGGGGGCCGCCGCCGCCGCCGCGAAGCCCGCGCGGACUGCCCCCCGCCAGCAACUGGACCCAGAAUGAACACCAUGAUCCUCGUCCAUGCAUUUCCCGCGCCGCCGCCCGCCGCCCGGAGCCGCGCCGCCGACCGCCGCCGGUAGCAGGAGAAGCGCGAGGGUGAGGCCAUGAAGCUGCUCAGGGAGCAGCAGAUGCAGUGGACCGCCAAGGAGCUCCCGGCCGCAGUACCUCAAGUUCAGGUAGGAGGCCAAGGGCGUGCCACGACGGUGUGCAGAUCCCGGUGCGAUGCGGCUCGGUGGCGAUCCGCCGACCCUCGGGAGUGGUGGUGGGGUGCAGGGAGAAGCCUUGUUGUCCUUCCCUUUCUUUUCCCCAGAUCUGUCGCACAUCUUGAAGUUUCUCUUCAUUUUUCUUUGGCAAGCAGAUCCAUGAAACAUACUACCUCAUCGAUGCACCAGGCGGAACCGCGGUGAGCCUUCCGCAAGAGGGCAAGGGGUUCGAGUCUGAUUAAAAAAUUAUAUUGUACUUCAUUGGAGGUAAUAUUGUACUUUAUUGGCACUAAUAUUGUACUUCGUUUUUGCAAUUUUACUUGUCCAUUUAGGCAAUAACACUGUACUUUUCCCUAACAAUUUUGCCUAACAUUUCCUAGAUGAUGCCUGCAAGCUAUCAAAUAUGCAUUUGCUAUGAUUUCAUGGGUCAUGAACAAUAUGUAAUUGGGGUGGUCUAGUUCUAAAUAUAGGUAAUUUAACUCCGGAGAGCCUUGCUCCGGAGAGCAGAAGCGCACGAAAAGCUUGAGCACUAUGAUGAAAGCCUAUUGCUGGUUAGACUCCCCCCUCCCCCCGCGCCUGCCUGCGCGCGCUAAAACAAACAAAGUUAACUCAUAUGUAUCUUUGUGAUCCUUUGCUGUGAAAGUUGAAUGCAACAGUUGUACUAAUUUCCAAAUUUUUUUAUCUUCCUGACAGGUUGUCAUUUGUCCCCAUAGUGGCCUUUUUUCAUGGCAUGGUUGGUUCAUUAUCUGUAAUAGAAGCAUGGUGCAUACGCUACUCGUAAGUGGAGUGAUGGAUGUACACAUGUUCUUGCGGAUGAAUCAUGUUGGUUGACACCCGAGCUCCUCGAUGCAGUUACGAGAAAGAAGCAGAUUGUGUUGGGAGAAUGGUUUAAGGCAAUGGCUGAAAAGAACAUACACACAGAAAUCCCUUCUUGUACACAGUACGUUGUUGUAACUUGUUGUAUGUGAUUGUUGAGGUGAUGUUGUAACUUGUAUGUGAUUGUACGAUGCUGUAUAAUUUUUCUGUGAUUUUUUCUAUAUUUUUGGUGCUUUAUA